UUUCCGUAGGUGAACCUGCGGAAGGAUCAUUAUUGAGUAACAGAGGUGCGAGCCCUGUCGCUGACCCCAAAGUCUGUUCACGCCCCAUUGCCCUGGCACACCCGCAGCCCCCCACUAUGUGCACCACCGCGUCUGUCCCCCUGUGGCUUGCUCGGCGGGGGGCUUACCUUUUAACACAAAAAUUGUACGCAGUGUAGAAUGUAUUUUAUGAUUUUGUUAAACCACAAUUAACACCACUUUCAACAUCGGAUCUCUUGGCGCUGGCAUCGACGACAAACC
rnacentral:misc_RNA from 1 species